GGUUCACGUAAGAUCACCAAAGUUAAGGCACGUCAAGCCUGGUCAGUACCUAGAUGGGUGACCGCUUGCGAAUACCAGGUGCUGUAAG